GGCAGCAGUGAGGAAUAUUGCGCAAUGGGCGAAAGCCUGACGCAGCCACGCCGCGUGCCGGAAGACGGUCCUAUGGAUUGUAAACGGCUUUUACCAGGGAAGAACCAUCUCGAUUUGUCGGGAUCUGACGGUACCUGGAGAAUAAGCACCGGCUAACUCCGUGCCAGCAGCCGCGGUAAUACGGAGGGUGCAAGCGUUGUCCGGAAUCAUUGGGUGUAAAGGGUGCGUAGGCGGGUCUUUAAGUGUGGGGUGAAAUCUUGCGGCUCAACCGUAAAAUGGCCUCGGAUACUGGAGACCUUGAGUAUGACAGAGGGUGGGGGAAUUCGUAGUGUAGCGGUGAAAUGCAUAGAUAUUAAGAAGAACACCAGUGGCGUAGGCGGCCACCUGGGUCAUAACUGACGCUGAGGCAAGAGAGUGUGGGGAGCGAACAGGAUUAGAUCCCCUGGUAGUCCACGCUGUAAACGAUGUAUAAUAGGUGUCGGGUCUUUCGGGAUUCGGUGUUGCAGCUAACGCAUUAA
rnacentral:rRNA from 1 species